rnacentral:rRNA from 1 species
AGAGCGAACGCUGGCGGCAGGCUUAACACAUGCAAGUCGAGCGCUCGUAGCAAUACGGGAGCGGCAGACGGGAGAGUAACACGUGGGAACGUACCCUUCGGUUCGGAAUAACCCAGGGAAACUUGGGCUAAUACCGGAUACGUCCGUAAGGAGAAAGAUUUAUCGCCGAGGGAUCGGCCCGCGUCCGAUUAGCUAGUUGGUGGGGUAAUGGCCCACCAAGGCGACGAUCGGUAGCUGGUCUGAGAGGAUGAUCAGCCUCACUGGGACUGAGACACGGCCCAGACUCCUACGGGAGGCAGCAGUGGGGAAUAUUGGACAAUGGGCGCAAGCCUGAUCCAGCCAUGCCGCGUGGGUGAUGAAGGCCUUAGGGUUGUAAAGCCCUUUCGGCGGGGAAGAUAAUGACGGUACCGCAGAAGAAGCCCCGGCUAACUUCGCGCCAGCAGCCGC